UACGAAGGGGGCUAGCGUUGUUCGGAAUUACUGGGCGUAAAGCGCGCGCAGGCGGUUUUUCAAGUCAGUGGUGAAAGCCCGGAGCUCAACUCCGGAACGGCCAUUGAAACUGUAAAACUUGAGGACGAGAGAGGUGAGUGGAAUUCCCAGUGUAGAGGUGAAAUUCGUAGAUAUCGGGAGGAACACCGGUGGCGAAGGCGGCGACCUGGGACAAUACUGACGCUGAGGUGCGAAAGCGUGGGGAGCAAACAGG
rnacentral:rRNA from 1 species